rnacentral:rRNA from 1 species
UGGGGAAUAUUGGACAAUGGGCGGAAGCCUGAUCCAGCAAUACCGCGUGUGUGAAGAAGGCCUGAGGGUUGUAAAGCACUUUCAGCGAGGAGGAAGGUAAUGAUGUUAAUAGUAUUAUUAUUUGACGUUACUUGCAGAAGAAGCACCGGCUAACUCUGUGCCAGCAGCCGCGGUAAUACAGAGGGUGCGAGCGUUAAUCGGAAUUACUGGGCGUAAAGCGUGCGUAGGCGGAUUAAUAAGUCAGAUGUGAAAGCCCUGGGCUUAACCUAGGAAUUGCAUCUGAAACUAUUUAUCUAGAGUAUGGUAGAGGGUAGUGGAAUUUCCGGUGUAGCGGUGAAAUGCGUAGAUAUCGGAAGGAACACCAGUGGCGAAGGCGGCUAUCUGGGCCAAUACUGACGCU